rnacentral:rRNA from 1 species
GACGUAGGGUGCAAGCGUUGUCCGGAUUUACUGGGCGUAAAGAGCGCGUAGGCGGCUCGUUAAGUGAGGAGUGAAAGCUGUGGGCUCAACCCACAAACCGCUUUUCAUACUGGCGAGCUGGAGUGAUGCAGAGGUGGAUAGGAUUCCUGGUGUAGCGGUGAAAUGCGCAGAUAUCAGGAAGAACACCAAUGGCGAAAGCAGCGUUCUGGGACGGUACUGACGCUGAGACGCGAAAGCGUGGGGAGCGAACAGG